AAAAACUUGGCUUAAAGACACAGCUGCUAGAACACGUGAGUAUAAAAAACUUUUUCUCUUUUCUCCUUAAGUUAAAUUGGAAUCAGCAGUUUUUUUCUUUUUCUUCCCUUUAAUCUUAAGGGACAGCUGGGUAGCUCAGCGGAUUGAGAGCCAGGCCUAGAGACAGAAGGUCCUGGGUUCAAAUCGGACCUCAGAUACUUCCCAGCUGUGUGACUCUGAUAGACAGAAAACAGCUGUUUUAAAUCUCAGCAACAGGACUCUAAAGUCCUGGCUGGAAGAGCUGUUUCUAAAUAUCCUUUCCCUUAAGGAACAACUUCCUGGAUUAGAAAAAAAAAAACCCUGUGGAAAGUUUGUUGCUUUGCCCUGCUUCCCACGUGUUUUGUGAAAUUACAAAAUAUACAUAUAAAAAUGAGUACUACAUUCUUUGACAAUUAUAUGGCAGCUGAAGAAGUAGGGGCAUUGAGGAAUGAAGGAUACCUCCAAAUUUUUAUAUUAAUAGGUACUGUCAUUUUUGUACUCCUCAAUACUAUAUUUAGAGAUGAAAAAAUAAAAAAUAUUGAGGAUAAAAUAAAACAAAGUGAGGAUAAAAUAAAACAAAAUGAGGAUAAAAUAGAAAAUAUUGAGGAUAAAAUAGAAAAUGUUGAGGAUAAAAUAGAAAAAAAUGAGGAUAAAAUAGAAAAUAUUGAGGAUAAAAUAGAAAAUAUUGAGGAUAAAAUAGAAAAAAUUGAGGAUAAAAUAGAAAAAAUUGAGGAUACAAUAGAAAAAAUUGAGGAUACAAUAGAAAAAAUUGAGGAUAAAAUAGGAAAUAUUGAGAAUAAAAUAGAAAAACUUGAGGAUAAAAUAGGAAAUAUUGAGAAUAAAAUAGGAAAUAUUGAGGAUAAAAUGGGAGAUAUGGAAGAUAAAAUAGGAAAAAUUGAGGAUAAAAUGCAAGCCCAAUUAGAAGAUCUAAAAUGUUUCUUACAGGAUCAAUGGGCAAACACCCACUCUACCAGAAACAUACCUGUUUCUGAACCUUUGAAUGAGGAAAUUUCCUUCCCUGAAAUAGAGAUGGAAAACACCUUCCCUAUAGCCCAGUUAACAGACUGCUUCUCUCGUGUAGUGCAAAUCUUGUCUGAAUUUAAUCCCCAAAACCCUUCCCCUGCAAUCCCAGCUUCUCAUGUUCCUUCUCCUACAGAAAACCAAAUUCCAAUGCAAGGGAGAUCUUGUCCUCCUAGAGAAACCUGUCCUUGUCAAACUGACCCACAGGUGCAAAAUCCAACUAGAGGCCUGUUUCCUCUAAGAGAAGUACCUGAAAUAGGACGAAAUGGGGAUGUGGUGACUUUAAGACAUAGGAUACCGUUUACUCCCCAAGAAAUAAAUGAAUUUACACGAAAUAUCCCCACAUAUGAACAAGAUCCUUUUCUAGUAACAAAAAAGAUGGGAGACAUAUUUUUUCAGUAUAAUCCGUCUUACAAGGACAUUGAGAGCUUACUACAGGCUUUUUUAAGUGAACGUGAAAAAAAUAAAAUAAUUGCUCAUGUCAACAAAACCCGGGGGCGUAAUGCAGCACAUUGGCCAUCUCAGGAUCCCGAAUGGGACUAUAAUAAUCCUGAGGACUAUCUACAACUAUACCGUUGUAGAGAGGCCAUCCUCACGGCCAUGAAGGAAUGUGCGGACAGUACAGAUAAGUGGAUGGAACUGGAAAAAAUUAAGCAAAAGGAAAACGAAACACCCUCCAGAUUUAUGGACAGAAUUAUCGAGUUUGGGGACAGAUACUUAGAUUGGGACUUAAAUAAAGAGAAUAGUUUAAGACAAGUUAGAAGAAUCUUUGUAAAUAAUUCAUGCAAAGUAAUUAAAAAUUAUUUUAAAACACAAUGCCCAAGAUGGUCAGAUAUGGACCUUGAAGAAUUGCGAAAAACAGCUAUAUAUGUUUUUAAGGGAAACGAAGAAAAGGAGAAAGAGAAUAAUGAUGACAUGGAGGAAAUGAAGAAAAAAAUAAGAUAUUUAAUAGAUAGGAUAACUAAAUUAGAAAGUGGGCAUGAUAAUGAACCAACGACAAUUGCCCCUCUCCAGAAAUCCAAUUAUCAAUCCAUUACUUGCCACUUCUGUGAGAAGAAGGGCCACAAAAUGAUGGAAUGUAGAACCUUUCUUAAGAUGUUUGGAAGGAAUACACAGUUUAAUAAUGGUUUUAGAAAUAAUAACUAUAGAAAUUAUGAUAAUGGUUAUAGAAACCAAAAUUCUAGAAAUUAUAUAAUGACUA
rnacentral:lncRNA from 1 species